AGUCACUGACAUUAGAUACCCCCGUAGUCCCAGCCGUAAACGAUGCGCGUUAGGUGUAUCGACGACCACGAGUCGUCGAGGUGCCGAAGGGAAACCGUGAAACGCACCACCUGGGAAGUACGGUCGCAAGGCUGAAACUUAAAGGAAUUGGCGGGGAGCACCACAACAGGUGGAGCCUGCGGUUUAAUUGGAUUCAACGCCGGACAUCUCACCGGAUAAGACAGCUGAAUGAUUGUCAAUCUGAAGGUUUUACAUGACUAGCUG
rnacentral:rRNA from 1 species